rnacentral:RNase_P_RNA from 1 species
AGAGUUGGUCAGGCAGUCGCUGGCCCUAUAAAAUAUAUUUUAUAGGGCGGGAGGAAAGUCCGGGCUCCAAAGAGCAGAGCGCCAGGUAACUCCUGGGAGGCGUGAGUCUAUGGAAAGUGCCACAGAAAGCAAACCGCCUAAGUGUUAGUCGUAAAGGUUAACAACGGCAAGGGUGAAAGGGUGUGGUAAGAGCGCACCGCGCGCUUGGAAACAAGUGCGGCAUGGUAAACCCCGCUCGGAGCAAGACCAAAUAGAGAUCUAAUAGCGCUGCUCGUGCUAGAUUUGGGUAGGUCGCUAGAGGCUCUUGGUGACAAGAGUCCUAGAUGAAUGACUGCCUUGGAGCUAAGAUUUGCUUAGUUUCAUAACAGAACCCGGCUUACUGACCGACUCUUAUU